rnacentral:lncRNA from 15 species
AUGGAAAUCCCAGACCAGGACGUGGGGUUAAACACAGAUGGCAGUUUAAACCCAGAACAAGAGCAGGAGCAGCAGGAUGACUCUGAGCCUGAUACCCAGCCUAAAUCCAACCAGGAGAUACCAGAGCCAAGGAAAGGCCCCCCGUCGCAGGUCUUCAUUGAGUCCCGUAUACUGCAGCUUCACAACCGGCGUCUCAUUCUGCUGGAGCAGCAGCACUUCAUAAAGAGGGAAGAAGACAAUAUGGGUGGGACCACAGAGGAAAUGAACAGCGAGGACAGCGGUGAACCGUGCGAGCUGGAGGCCAUUGAGAAGGAGCUGGAAGAGCUGCUGGUUAAAAAGGAAGAGCUGGACAAACAGGGAAAGAGCUCCAAGCUCAGCGAUGGUCAACAGGAUGUGUGUCCCACUUUCUGUAAAACUGAGACACCCUGUGGGGGGAUCUACUUGCUGCCACCUCCCCAGCUGACAGAGGAGGACAUUGCACUGGAUUGGAGAGAAAAAAAUAGGACUGCAGCAGAAGAACCAAAAGGCACAACCGUCUCAGCGGACAGUCUCGGUCAAAUGCCAGCUCUGACCCAGUGUCCAUCCUGUCAAGAAGUUGUCUUCACAGAGACCUGCAGGAAAAGGGGCGAGGCUACGUGGAUUCUUUGCUACAUGUGCAUCAUAUUGGGGUGUGCUGCAGGCUGCUGUUUAAUCCCUUUCUUCUUGGACCGCCUGAAGAACGUCCAACACCGGUGUCCCAGGUGCCAGGCACUCAUACACACCUACCGGCCAUUUUGACACGGGGGUUAGAACAACCCCUGAAGUACCAUUCCACAGCUUCUGUCCUCAAGUGACCCUUUCCUGUGAUCUUGGGAGUUGUUUGGGACUCUUGGACUUUUAUUCCCCUCCCCGACCAACACUACAUUAAAAAAUCUCCACAAGCAUUUUCACAUUUUGCCUUUCAUCUGGGAGGGGCUUGUUUCACGUUCGACUCUACAAUGGCAGCGCUGAUACAAAUUGCACAAAGGCUCAGAUAAUCAAACAUCAAACUAUUCUUUGACCGUACUUGUGAUGUCGCUGCUAAAACUCAUACUGUAAAAGUCAGCAUCAGUUUGCCUGAAUAUCUGCAUGGACUAGAUUGCAGCUCUCAGCUUGCAGAUGCAAAAUACUGCUCAUUUAAUGUGUCAGAUACAAAGGCUGCAGCAAAAAAACAGAUUCCUAAACUAAAAAGGGUCGACACGUUUGCUGCUUAUGUUAGGAUAUAGCUUUAUGGGUUGUCUAUCAACAAUAC